GGGAGGGGACCCGGGGGGCACCGGGGGGGGCACCGGGGGGGGCGGGGCGUGAGGGACGGCCCCCUGGGUGGGGGGUCACCAAUGGGUGGCUUCGAUGGGGGGCGGCGCCAACGGGGCGGCACCAAUGGGCGGCCUCAGCGGGGGGCGGCCCCAUGGGGGGGGGGUGGGGGUGGGGUGGGGGUGUCACCAAUGGGGCGGCCUCAAUGGGGUGACCUCAGUGGAGGACGCACCCAAUGGGGCGGCUUCAAUGGCGGGUGUCCCCAAGGGAGGCAACCAAUGGGGUGGCCCCAAUGAUGUGACAUCAGUGGAGGAUGCACCCAAUGGGGUGGCUUCAAUGGGGAUGUCACCAAUGGGGUGGCUUCAAUGGCGGGUGUCCCCCAAGGGAGGCACCCAAUGGGGUGACCUCAAUGGAGGACGCACCCAAUGGGGGAGUCCCCAAUGACAUGACAUCAGCGGAGGACACACCCAAUGGGGUGGCUUCAAUGGGGGACGCACCCAAUGGGGUGGCCCCAAUGGGGUGACCUCAGCGGAGGAUGUACCCAAUGGGGUGGCCCCAAUGGUGUGACCUCAAUGGAGGACGCACCCAAUGGGGUGGCCCCAAUGGUGUGACCUCAGCGGAGGAUGUACCCAAUGGGGUGUCCCCAAUGGUGUGACAUCAGCGGAGGAUGUAUCCAAUGGGGUGGCCCCAAUGGUGUGACCUCAAUGGAGGACGCACCCAAUGGGGUGGCCCCAAUGGUGUGACCUCAAUGGAGGAUGUACCCAAUGGGGUGGCCCCAAUGACGUGACCUCAGCGGAGGACGCACCCAAUGGGGUGGCUUCAACGGGGGACGCACCCAAUGGGGUAGCCCCGGCGGGGGCGGGGUCCCUCAGGGCGGCCCCCUGUGGGCGGGGCCCCGGCGAGGAGGGGUCCCGGGGGCGGGGCCCCGGCGGGGGUGGGGGGUCCCGGGGGGGGUCCCGGGGGUCCCCGCGGCGGCGCCAAAUGUCCACUAUUUAUCUGCAUCAGUGAGUGUUAGAGACGCCAAUAAACACCGUAGCGCUGA